UACGGAGGGGGCUAGCGUUGUUCGGAAUUACUGGGCGUAAAGCGCGCGUAGGCGGCUUUGUAAGUUAGAGGUGAAAGCCCGGGGCUCAACUCCGGAACUGCCUUUAAGACUGCAUCGCUUGAAUCCGGGAGAGGUGAGUGGAAUUCCGAGUGUAGAGGUGAAAUUCGUAGAUAUUCGGAAGAACACCAGUGGCGAAAGGCGGCUCACUGGACCGGUAUUGACGCUGAGGUGCGAAAGCGUGGGGAGCAAACAGG
rnacentral:rRNA from 1 species